AGCUGCCCAUGAGAAAUCACAAGGUAUGGAGCACCACAGUGCACGGGGACAGCCUGUGCCCACUACCCCCGGUAUGGAGCUUGGGUUUUAGCAGCUCAGAAGCAGGGGAACAGUGUCUAUUGCGUGGGUCAGAGCUGGAUGCUGAGGACUGAAACAACAUUUGGCUGUUCAAUGGGACUGUGCACCCUCCCACCAGGUAUGUGGGUUAGUCAGGUUGAGGGUUUUGCAGAGCAGGGAGCUCAGCAUGGCAGGUGUGGCACAGUUCAAAACUCAAGAGCUGCUCUGCCACGGGGCACAGUUGAGCCAAAGACUGCGGCAAGCUUUUGCCAUACGAGGGCGUGCUGGCACUGCUCCUUCCUGCGCUGCAGCUGGGAAUGUUGGGAUGCAGCCACACAGACGGGAAAGCUGCUGGGAAGCUCGGGUUCUCACCUGGAGUGCUGAAUUAAUUAGCAUUGCUCAAGGAACUGGUUCUAAAGUGUUUGCCACCUUCUUAAGAGCCCAGGGGCUGCUCAGAGUGAGGGAGAUGGUCUCAGUGUUUGCCUUUUGGGUCUGAACCAGGUCAGGACGAUGCUGCCAGUAUUUUCCAUCAGACACCGGCAUGGUGGCAUUCCGCGAGCAGGCCAGCACCCCAGCAUCGCUCCCCGCGGGCAGGUGACAGGAGGAUGGUGGCGGUGCCUUGCACAAGUGCAAAAUACGAGUGCGGGAAUCCUUCCCAGUGCCCAGUAGAUGGGGCUGUGUGUGCUUCCUGCUUUCCCCGCGUGGCAGGAGGGCUGGGCAGAGCGGACACCCGGGAAGGGAACAAAGCUGUCCCUCACCUGGCUUUUUGACUCCCUGUACCAGAAUGGUGCCAUCUCACCGGGACAAUAGGAUACAGAAAAAAACCUCAAACGACCGAAACCCUACUAUUUUUCCCCAAGUGUCUGAGUGUUAAACUUUUUGCCUCCAUGCUGAGCUGCAAACCUUGAUCUUGACUGUAAUUUCUCUACGGGAGCAAGUGUGGGAUGCCACUGGCUGUGAGUGUCCCAAGUUGAAGAAACUCCGUGUUGGAAAGCCAUGUUUCUAACUCAUCUUUCCUGUUUGGCUUAUUGCUUCCAGCAUUUUCUAGAAUGGCUCGUCUUCUCCCUAGUACUCCCAAAGCUCCCAGGUGGGAUGAGUGCUCUGUGAAGCCAUUCUUUUGUGGCCUGUGUUGUCUCCGCUGGGAUCUCAAGGAUGGAGCUUGCUCUCUUAAGGUGCUGAGGAGGACAUAAAGUGCUGAAAGGGCAUGUUCAUGAUGCUGGGCCUUCCCUGGAGAUGGAUUACAAGGGAUUUCCACCACUUCUGCACAAAGGAACUGCUUUUGUCCAUGGGUCAAUGCUCAGGGUGGUGCUAAGGCAGAUGUUUCCCCACUGUUGGUCUCUGUGGCUGUGGCACAACCCCAUCCUAUGUGGGUGUGAUGGCAGAGGUGGGGAAAGUUGAGCAGAAGCUGUGGAGAGUUCCACAGGCAGAGCUGCAGCUGCUUGAGAAGAAAACCUUGCCAGUGGCUCAUUUGUUAUAUUUGCAAAUGCAGUAUCAAAAUGCUUCUGCAGCCUUUUCCUCCAAAAACUGCAGGGCUUCUUGGGGAGCAGAAGCUGAGUUUGCCAGGGCCCCGUGCAAAAGCCCUGCAGCCCUGGCCACUGCAGCAGCUGCAGGUGGAGCUGGGGACCUGCAAGCUGCAGUGGUGCUGUUGUGGUGGCAGCGAAGCUCUGCUGGUGUUCAGGCAGUGUUUGUGCUGCUCUGUCCAAGCUGCUGUAGUAAAGUGCUCUGGCUAAU